UGCUUACCUAGCUGGUAGAAUCCCAGGGG
rnacentral:piRNA from 1 species